CUCUCGGAGUGUGGGAAAUCAGUCUCCCAGCGCGUGGAUUUCCUACUCCCUUCGUCCUUCCUUUGCAGAUAUCUGGUUUUCCUUCUCCCCUGGAGGUCUAGAGGUUUCGGUGACUGCCCCUUGGCGUCUCUCAUGGAAGGUCUCUUUUCCCAUCCUUGUCCAUUGAGCCUUUGAAAACUUUUCACCCAUCGGAAUGGUCUGGCCAAACCCUUAGCUUCCACCUUGAACCUCUUUCAAAGCCGUCGAAAAAUCAAAUCUUACUGCAAAUAACUCCAAAGUGACUGACUUAGUAAUUUAGAAUUCUUAACAGUUUGUUGAGUAGAAUUUUGAUUUGCUGUUUAUUUAACUUAAUAUAUAUUAUACCAUCUCUGAAGAAUGCAAAGAUUUCUACCAAAGCAAUGACAGAAUAUACAUGUAUAACUACAGGAAAAAAUUUAAGUCAACAUUUGAACUUCAGUUCCAAUAAAGAUUGCAUAUAAAUGCUGAAGGAAUCCAAAACAAGGGAAAGGAAAUAAUUAUUUCUGUUAAAAGGUGGGGAAGGAAUGGGUAUCAACAAGUUAUCAAAGAUGGAAAAAAAAAUACAGCUGUGGGAAGUCAGGUACCCUAAGCUAAUUCAUCGCUAGUGGAAAAAUGAAUUGAUUCAAAAAAAAUUUUUUUUCAAACACUGAAAAACAGUUUGGCUCUACGCAAGAACAAUUCUUAUCUUUCGAUACCUAGAGAUACCACUAUUGAGACUAUUAUUCCAAAAAGGUUAUUGACUGAAAAACAAAAAGACCCAACCCCUACAUGUAUAAGAAUUUUCAUAUUUGUGAAACAUUCGCGCUCACUUUCCAGAACACCGAACUUUUUUUUUUUUAAUGCAGGAAAAAAAAAGUUCCCUUUUUUCAAAGAGUUCGAUCUAAUGGGGGAAGCAGCAUUCAAACAACUUUGCACAAACUCUAAAUAAGAUAAAUUGUAAAUGAUCAACCGAAGGAAGGGACUAGAUUAACGGGAAUGGGAGAAAGCUUUCUGUUGCAGUUAGGGUAUUAGCUGGGACUUAGAAGCCUUGAGGCUAAAAAGCAUUGAAAACCUGGAAUGAGAGGUGGGGGAAGGGGAGGAAGGAGAGGGAAAGUGGCAGGGAAUGUGGGGUGUGGAAGAGAAAGAGCUGGUGAAAAUACCCAGAGUUGGGUGGUGGAGUUUUCAUCUUACAUUCAUCAGGAAUGUAAGAAGAUUGGAAAGGAAGGGCAAGGAACAACAGAAUAAAAAGGAAUUCGGAUCAGAGAAUUUUCUCUUUAUGCUUGGAGGUCAUAAAGAGCUACUGGAGUUUGAGGAUGGGGACUAGAAGGGGGUUGUAACAGAAUUAUACUAUAAGAAUGUAUAGUCACUCAGUGACAGCUGAGUGGAGGAUGGACUGGAGCAGAGAGACUUGUGACAGGCUAAACAAAAAAGUAGUCCAGGCAUGAGGUGAUAAGCACAGGGUGGUGGCAGUAUGAGAAAUGAGAACUAAGUGUAUUUGAGAAGUAUGAUGUAGAGAUAACAGGCUUUGGCAACAGUAUUGGAUGGGGGAAAAGGGUAAGAGUUGAGAAGAAGUUGAGGCCUGGAGAUAGGAGAUGAUGGUGGUACUCUCAACAAUAAAAAGGAAAGUUACAGGAGAAGACUUGGAAGAAAUAAUGAAUUUAGUGUUAGAUACGUUUAGUUUAAGGUAUCUAUGGGACGUCCAUUUCAGGUUGUUUACUGGAUAGUUGGAGAUGCGGAUUGUAAAUCAAUAGAAGGUUUAGGACAGGAUAAGUAAAUUUAAGAAUCUACAGCAGAAAGAUAAGUGGAUCUAUGAAAUAACUAACUUAAGUAGCAUAGAGGAAGAAGAGAAAAAGGGCUUGGAAAGAACCUGUGUUAUAUUCUUGGUUAGUGUGUGACCUGGCUGAAGCUAAAGAGACUAGACAAGUAUUAAAAAGAAAGAAAGAAAGACUAAUGUCACAGAGAAGAAAAUUAUCAAGAAGAGAGUGAUUGAAGUGUCAAAAAUUGCAGAGAGAUUAAGAGGGAUGAGGAUUGAGAAAAGACCAUUAGAUUUGUCAUUUAAGAGAUUGUCAGUAAUAGCAAGGGGCAUUUUUGAUGGAAUAAAACUGGAAACAUUUAAGAAGAGAGUAAAGGAAGUGAAGGCAUCUAUUAUGUAGAUAGCCUACUCUGGGAGUUCAGCUGCCAAAAGUGAGGGAGUUACAGGAUAAUAGCUAAUA